rnacentral:rRNA from 1 species
CAGUCGCCACGGGAAUACGAAGGGUGCAAGCGUUAAUCGGGAUUACUGGGCGUAAAGCGUGCGUAGGCGGUGAGUUAAGUCUGCUGUGAAAUCCCCGGGCUCAACCUGGGAAUGGCAGUGGAUACUGGCUCGCUAGAGUGUGUCAGAGGAUGGUGGAAUUCCCGGUGUAGCGGUGAAAUGCGUAGAGAUCGGGAGGAACAUCAGUGGCGAAGGCGGCCAUCUGGGACAACCCUGACGCUGAGGCACGAAAGCGUGGGGAGCAAACAGGAUUAGAGACCCCCGUAGUCCCUGUCUCUUAUAC